rnacentral:rRNA from 1 species
GAAUUCGCCCUUAGAGUUUGAUCCUGGCUCAGGACGAACGCUGGCGGCGCGCCUAACACAUGCAAGUCGAACGGAGCUUAGAGAGCUUGCUUUUUAAGCUUAGUGGCGAACGGGUGAGUAACGCGUGAGUAACCUGCCCUAGAGUGGGGGACAACAGUUGGAAACGACUGCUAAUACCGCAUAAGCCCACGGUACCGCAUGGUACUGAGGGAAAAGGAUUUAUUCGCUUUAGGAUGGACUCGCGUCCAAUUAGCUAGUUGGUGAGGUAACGGCCCACCAAGGCGACGAUUGGUAGCCGGACUGAGAGGUUGAACGGCCACAUUGGGACUGAGACACGGCCCAGACUCCUACGGGAGGCAGCAGUGGGGGAUAUUGCACAAUGGGGGAAACCCUGAUGCAGCGACGCCGCGUGGAGGAAGAAGGUUUUCGGAUUGUAAACUCCUGUCGUUAGGGACGAUAAUGACGGUACCUAACAAGAAAGCACCGGCUAACUACGUGCCAGCAGCCGCGGUAAAACGUAGGGUGCAAGCGUUGUCCGGAAUUACUGGGUGUAAAGGGAGCGCAGGCGGGAAGACAAGUUGGAAGUGAAAACCAUGGGCUCAACCCAUGAAUUGCUUUCAAAACUGUUUUUCUUGAGUAGUGCAGAGGUAGAUGGAAUUCCCGGUGUAGCGGUGGAAUGCGUAGAUAUCGGGAGGAACACCAGUGGCGAAGGCGGUCUACUGGGCACCAACUGACGCUGAGGCUCGAAAGCAUGGGUAGCAAACAGGAUUAGAUACCCUGGUAGUCCAUGCCGUAAACGAUGAUUACUAGGUGUUGGGGGAUUGACCCCCUCAGUGCCGCAGUUAACACAAUAAGUAUUCCACCUGGGGAGUACGACCGCAAGGUUGAAACUCAAAGGAAUUGACGGGGGCCCGCACAAGCAGUGGAGUAUGUGGUUUAAUUCGAAGCAACGCGAAGAACCUUACCAGGUCUUGACAUCCGAUGCAUAGCACAGAGAUGUGUGAAAUCCUUCGGGACAUCGAGACAGGUGGUGCAUGGUUGUCGUCAGCUCGUGUCGUGAGAUGUUGGGUUAAGUCCCGCAACGAGCGCAACCCCUAUCUUUAGUAGCCAGCAUUUCAGGUGGGCACUCUAGAGAGACUGCCAGGGAUAACCUGGAGGAAGGUGGGGACGACGUCAAAUCAUCAUGCCCCUUAUGACCAGGGCUACACACGUGCUACAAUGGCGUAAACAGAGGGAAGCAGCCUCGUGAGAGUGAGCAAAUCCCAAAAAUAACGUCUCAGUUCGGAUUGUAGUCUGCAACUCGACUACAUGAAGCUGGAAUCGCUAGUAAUCGCGAAUCAGAAUGUCGCGGUGAAUACGUUCCCGGGUCUUGCACACACCGCCCGUCA